UGCAGUCGAACGGCAGCACGGAGCUUGCUCUGGUGGCGAGUGGCGAACGGGUGAGUAAUAUAUCGGAACGUACCCURGAGUGGGGGAUAACGUAGCGAAAGUUACGCUAAUACCGCAUACGAUCUAAGGAUGAAAGUGGGGGAUCGCAAGACCUCAUGCUCGUGGAGCGGCCGAUAUCUGAUUAGCUAGUUGGUAGGGUAAAAGCCUACCAAGGCAUCGAUCAGUAGCUGGUCUGAGAGGACGACCAGCCACACUGGAACUGAGACACGGUCCAGACUCCUACGGGAGGCAGCAGUGGGGAAUUUUGGACAAUGGGCGAAAGCCUGAUCCAGCAAUGCCGCGUGAGUGAAGAAGGCCUUCGGGUUGUAAAGCUCUUUUGUCAGGGAAGAAACGGUGAGAGCUAAUAUCUCUUGCUAAUGACGGUACCUGAAGAAUAAGCACCGGCUAACUACGUGCCAGCAGCCGCGGUAAUACGUAGGGUGCAAGCGUUAAUCGGAAUUACUGGGCGUAAAGCGUGCGCAGGCGGUUUUGUAAGUCUGAUGUGAAAUCCCCGGGCUCAACCUGGGAAUUGCAUUGGAGACUGCAAGGCUAGAAUCUGGCAGAGGGGGGUAGAAUUCCACGUGUAGCAGUGAAAUGCGUAGAUAUGUGGAGGAACACCGAUGGCGAAGGCAGCCCCCUGGGUCAAGAUUGACGCUCAUGCACGAAAGCGUGGGGAGCAAACAGGAUUAGAUACCCUGGUAGUCCACGCCCUAAACGAUGUCUACUAGUUGUCGGGUCUUAAUUGACUUGGUAACGCAGCUAACGCGUGAAGUAGACCGCCUGGGGAGUACGGUCGCAAGAUUAAAACUCAAAGGAAUUGACGGGGACCCGCACAAGCGGUGGAUGAUGUGGAUUAAUUCGAUGCAACGCGAAAAC
rnacentral:rRNA from 1 species